CUCUUUUCCACGGGAUCCGAAAAUAUCCUGUUCAGCCGUCUUUGCUCUGUGACUGUUCGUCCUCCUCCUCCUCGUCUCUUACAGAGGGAGAAAAAGAAGCGCACGGUCGUCGUGCUUGCUAGAUCUUUUCGAUCGAGCUCGCUCUGAGCCUCUGACUAGCUGAUCAGCUAGUAGCUAGCUAUAGGCUUGGAGCCUGAUGCUGGCUUCAAUCUCUGUCUCGUCGGUUGCGGACACUGUUUACUGGAGUCAGCCCCAGGCUAACUGCAUGGUGGAUGCGUGGAGCAUCCAAGCAGGAGGGGGUGUCGAGAUCGGCAGAUCGCGCGCCUGUGACCGCAGCAAGCGCCUCACGGGAUGCGCAUCGGCGGCGGGGGGGUCUCUUGCCAUGACAGAGCUUCAUCGCCUAACCUCAUCUCCCCCGCUGGACGAUGAGUAGGAGCCUUUUUCCCUGCCCCGUUCCUUUUCUUUUUCCUUUUCUGAUCAUCACUCUUGCCGUCCUCGCUCAUCUGUGCUAUACUGUGCCCUCGCCGAGACGAGGCUUUCGCCGGGGCCAGGGUGACGACUCACCUACGAUAGAUACCCGAACAGAGCAGGCAGGCAGGCAGGACUGCAGGAGGAGCUGGGUGUCAGAGCAAGUGACCCCGAUCAAGUGGAGCUCCGAGUCUCUCUGACCUCCUGCUGUAGUGCUUUCUUGGUGUCUCCUGCAUGCAAUUGAUCACGCCAUCCAGCAAGGAGCAACAGGGAAAGCACACCCACCAUCUGCAGACUCAAACAACACCCGUCCUUUGGAAUCACAUGGCAACAAGGCAUGGGAAAUGAUAAAAACACGAGGAAAACCGAUCGGACGGGAGGCUAGCUGUACAUGCAUGGACGGGCAACCAUGUCGUCAUACACCAGCCAUAUCACAGUUAACUAAGCUUGUAUGACAACAUCAUUGCGUCUUUUAAGGGCGAAUAGCCACUUGCAUCCCUAAACAUAUUUCUCAUCACAACUUGAACCUACCACCCAGAUGCUCGUGUAUUAUUAGGCAUUAUUAGUCAUUACAUUAGCUGGUACUAUUAGAACAAGUUUGAAGCAGCUCCACGGCUAUUUUGUUCUCACCUUUGCAUAGUCUUUUGGUAAAGAAGUGCAGCAACCCUCAAUGACAUGUGGAGCUCGAGAGAAAAUUUUGAAGGGAAAUUGACAGUCUAAAAACGCGGCCGGAGGAGGUGAAACGGCCCUCACCGUAUUUCAUUAAGAGGAAGCGACCACGGCUUCUCCGACCGCAGAAAAAACCCCCCGAACCCGCGGAAAAACCGUAUAGAAAUUGACAGUCUGAUAGCACUCAAUAGAAUGAGAUUAAAGGGGUGUUGAUUGUAGUGUAUAACAUUCUUUGACGUUUCUAUAACAAAUUUGAAUGGCUAGGAAAGUUAUAAGGCAGGACUGAUCUUGAACAAUAGCAAUGGACAGCAAUAGUUAGCAGAAAUUAGAGCUACCAAUGUGUACUGGAAAUUAAAACAUAUAGGUGAUCAGUCCAUUAUUCACCAACAGCUUUGCAAUUUCUUUAUUGAGGUAAACAGCAAUUGACACUUGACUACAGUGGUUGGAAUUAAUGUGCUUACAUAAAGUAUACAGAUCCGUACUUGAAAUGAAAAUAUUACAGUGAAGUUUCCUUA